rnacentral:rRNA from 1 species
GAUGAACGCUAGCGGCAGGCCUAAUACAUGCAAGUCGAACGGUGUCUUCGGACAUAGUGGCGCACGGGUGCGUAACACGUAUGCAACCUACCUUACAUUGGGGGAUAGCCUUUCGAAAGGGAGAUUAAUACCGCAUAAGACAGUAGCUGGGCAUCCAGCAGCUGUUAAAGAUUUAUCGAUGUAAGCUGGGCAUGCGUCCAAUUAGCUAGUUGGUGAGGUAACGGCUCACCAAGGCAAUGAUUGGUAGGGGAACUGAGAGGUCAAUCCCCCACACUGGCGCUGAGAUACGGGCCAGACUCCUACGGGAGGCAGCAGUAGGGAAUAUUGGGCAAUGGACGCAAGUCUGACCCAGCCAUGCCGCGUGCAGGAUGAAGGCGUUAUGCGUUGUAAACUGCUUUUAUACAGGAAGAAACGACUCUUGCGAGAGGCAUUGACGGUACUGUAUGAAUAAGCACCGGCUAACUCCGUGCCAGCAGCCGCCGCAACAC